UCACUGUGACCAGACCGUCUUGACUGUGAUUUCAAUGUAUUUUGUAAGAGUUUUAGUCAUUGCCAUGCACUUUGAACUUUAUUGUUGGCAUACUCUGUUUUGAUUGGUUGUUAGUAAUUUCUUUGUAUCACGUGCUGAUUCGCGGGGUUUUCAGUGCCGCCUACGUUUUUCUGUGUAAUCUGUAGUUGAGAUUGUGUCUUGGUAAACUUUUGAAAGUUUGUCUUCUUGUUAUAAGGAAAUAUAUCUUGACUAAGCAGCACACACUGGAGAGAGAGAGUUUUAUGCAGAUGCAGUGUAAUGUGAUUGGUACCAUAUACUGGUCACUUGUUGUUGUAACUGCAAGUAGCUGUCAACCAUCAUUUGUAAUUGCUUGUGACAGAUAUGUAAAUAAAGAAGAGAACUUAGAAGUGAA